GACGAACGCUGUCGGCGUGCUUAACACAUACAAUUCGAACGGUGAAAGCGGAGCUUGCUGCGCUGGAUCAGUGGCGAACGGGUGGGUAACACGUGGGCAACCUGCACUUCACUUCGGAUAACACCGGGACACCGGGGUUAAUAUCUGACACUACCGCUGCAGGCAUCAGCGGAGGUGGCGAGGUUUGCGGUGAAGGAUGGGCCCGCGGCCUAUCAGCUUGUUGGUGAGGUAGUGGCUCACCAAGGCGACGACGGGUAGCCGGCCUGAGAGGGCGACCGGGCACACUGGGACUGAGACACGGCCCAGACUCCUACGGGAGGCAGCAGUGGGGAAUAUUGCGCAAUGGGCGAAAGCCUGACGCAGCAACGCCGCGUGCGGGAUGACGGCCUUCGGGUUGUAAACCGCUUUCAGCAGGGAAGAAGCCGCAAGGUGACGGUACCUGCAGAAGAAGCACCGGCUAACUACGUGCCAGCCGCCGCCGUAA
rnacentral:rRNA from 1 species